CAAAAAUAAACAGAAAACCUACCAAACAAAAAAGUAUUAAACGAACAUUGAAAUAGCCAGACAUGUGUAAUAUAACAAACAAACUACAUACAAAAGUACAUAAUAAGAGAUCCAAACAUUAAAUUAAAACAAACAACUUACCGGGAUGUCCUUCACCUACAGAUUCGGAAGUGAAUAGAAAUGAUUGUCCAUCUUCCAUGUCAUAUUGAGUGCCGUUGCCGUUGCAACCGUUUGAGUGUCCAUUGGUAACUGUUUGUGGCAUUUUGUUAAAGUUUUUUGUUGAUAAAUUCCGGUUCUAAA